CACCAUCACCUGUUAGGUCAAGAAGGAGGUAUGCAUCUAACACAAACUUUAGUUUAUGACGUAAGAUCGAAUUGCAGGAUACGCAAGGAAUUAUGUAGCAGAAACUUGGAACCUGAGAUCAAAGUUGUAGGCUUUGGUAGCAAGAUUUGAUUGUGUACGUAGCAGUUACAAGGCUAACGAAACUGGGGAGUAAAAUUCUUAUGUAGUGAUCUAAGUAAUUGUUUGACUC
rnacentral:lncRNA from 1 species